ensembl:snRNA U2 U2 spliceosomal RNA
ACUACUUCCUGGUCUUUUGGCUAAGAUCAAGUGUAGUAUCUGUUCUUAUCAGUUUAAUAUUGUCAAGAUGUCAUUUCUUUGAAACUUGAUACAUAGAUUCAAUAUAAUCACAACCAAA